rnacentral:rRNA from 1 species
UACGGAGGGAGCUAGCGUUAUUCGGAAUUACUGGGCGUAAAGCGCACGUAGGCGGCUUUGUAAGUUAGAGGUGAAAGCCCGGAGCUCAACUCCGGAACUGCCUUUAAGACUGCAUCGCUUGAAUCCAGGAGAGUGAGUGGAAUUCCGAGUGUAGAGGUGAAAUUCGUAGAUAUUCGGAAGAACACCAGUGGCGAAGGCGGCUCACUGGACUGGUAUUGACGCUGAGGUGGCGAAAAGCGUGGGGAGCAACAGG